GUACUUUAGCAAUCUGAAAUCAAUUAUCAAACUACAAAACACCAAGGCUUACUACUCCUAUCUUAAUUCAAUACAUAGUCCAUUCUACGACUAUCAAUUCAGCAAUACUUCCAUAUUCUUAUCAGUUCAUCUCCCACUUACUCUCUUUGCAGUUUAUAUAUAUUCAAUUACUGAUCUCCAGCUUACUUAUUAUAUUCAGUUUCUCAAUUCAUCACCCAGAAUUCAAUAUCUUUACUUAGUACAACACAAUUUGAUAAUCUCAAUUCUCAAGGUCAUAGAUUCUUUCUAAAACAGUCAGUCCAAAGUCAUAUUCUAUAAUAUUCUAAUCACAGUUUCAACAAUACUUCUCUCAAUCACAAUUCUUCAUAAGCAAAUAAUAAAAGCAAAAAAAACAAAGAGGUAGCACCAAGCUUACUCCGGCUUACGACUCCCACAGUCUGGCCCCAAUCUCCCUUUUUU
rnacentral:lncRNA from 1 species